AGGCCUAGACUGGCAUCUUAAACAACAGAAAUUUAUCUUCUCACAGUUCUGGAGAUGGAAGUCUGAGAUCGGGGUGACAUCAAGGCCGGUUUCUGGUGUAUACCUAGGAGUGAAAUUGAUGGACAUUUGCCUUGUUUUUUAAAAAUUGACUACUGAUGCUGCUUCCAAUGUCCUCAACUCUUUGACCAACUAUCCUUUCCAAAAGAAUCUCGCCCUGUUGCCCAGGCUAGAGUACCGUG